AUGUAUUACGUUGGGAAUAAUGAUUUGUAAAGUAAAAACUGAAGUGUAGUUUUCCACUCGCUCCACCAGGCGGCAGAAUCAGUCUUUAGGUUCAGUUUGACACAUUCAGAUGCUUGACAACAUGACGCUUGAUAAUAGCACGUGCAGACUGAUUUAAAUGUAAAUUCUGCAGAUAACAACUCAAUUACAGACUUAUAAUGUCACUUAACAGCACACACUUCAGCCCAUAAACAAACAAACGCUGUGAUAAAGUGCAGGAGUGGAAGAUGUCACGAGACUCACCUAAUAAGGGAUGUUUGAAGUGUUACUCUCAACAAACAGAAGCAUGUGGACACUGGACAGACAUUGACUGUAAUGAUGGACAUCUGCUGAAGCACAGGCAGAAGUAUAACGCCUGCUGGACAUUGUGCUGGAACUCGGGGAGGACACCAUGAUCCCCCACACCUUCUCACUCACACCAGACCAUUCACUCAUAUCACGGAGAUCUGGCUGGACUUGAACCAGCAACCUCUGAAAC